rnacentral:rRNA from 1 species
AUGAAGUACAUGAAGCUUGGGUCAAAGCCUGACACAUUCUACACCGAACAAGCCGUUAGGUCAGUAGUGUCAGACAUACCUGCUGAUCUUAUCAUACAUGUCAACAAUACAAAGUAUCAACUGCACAAGUUCCCCCUGCUGCUCAAGUGCGGCCUCCUGCAGCGCCUCUGCUCCGACACAGAGGCCGACGAGCAGCUGCCGGUGCCGGUGGCGCUCCACGACAUCCCGGGCGGCGAGGAGGCCUUCGAGAUCUGCGCCAAGUUCUGCUACGGCAUCGCCAUCAGCAUCAGCGCCAGCAACUUCGUGCUGGCGACGCUGGCAGCCCGAUUCCUCCGGAUGACGGAGCACGUCGCCAAGGCGAACCUCGUCUCCAAGCUCGACACCUUCUUCGAGUCCUGCGUCCUCCACGGGUGGAGGGACUCCAUCGCCGCGCUGCAGGCGGCGUGGCGGAUCUCCGGCUGGUCCGAGAGCCGCAUCGUCCAGCCAUGCGUCGACUCCAUUGUCGAGAAGAUCCUCCUCCCGCCCUCCCAGGUUUGUUGGCAGGCCGCUGUCGAUUUCCGGCGGUUCAUUUGGCGCCAAGAUUUGAAUAGUUUGUUUUUCUGUGUGCAGGUCGCGUGGUCGUACACGUACACGAGGCCGGGGUACGCCAAGAGGCCCCACCAGUCGGUGCCCAAGGACUGGUGGACGGAGGACAUCUCCGAGCUGGACAUCGAGGUGUUCCGCUCGGUCGUCUCCACCGUGCGCGCCACGCGCAUGCUCCCGUCGCCGCUCAUCGGCGAGGCCCUGCACGUCUACGCCUGCAAGCACCUCCCGGACCCGCUCUACACCGGCGGAAGCGCCAACGGCCACGCGUCUCAGAGUCAGAGCUCCUCCUUCACGGCGGCGGCGGCGGCGGCUGAGGAGGCGCUCGCCAAGCAGAGGCGCGUGCUGGAGACCGUCGUCACCAUGAUCCCCGGUGACGUGGGGUCGGUCACGGGACGGUUCCUCCUCCGGCUGCUGCGUGUGGCCAACUACGUCGGCGCGUCCUCGUCGACGCGCGCGCAGCUCAUCCGGCAGGCCGGGUCCCAGCUCGACGAGGCCAAGGCGGUGGACCUGCUCAUCCCGCUGCCGUCGGACGCGCAGGCGUACGACGUCGGCGCGGCGGAGGCCGUGCUGGAGCACUUCUUGGCGCAGUUCCAGCGGCCGGCCGCUCCCGACGAGCGCCGGAGGAUGAGCGUCGCCAUGGAGAAGGUGGUCAGAAUCUUCGACGAAUACCUUAAGACGAUCGCCCUCGACAGUGAGUUUCCCAUCGGCAAGUUCAUCGACCUGGCCGAGUGCCUGCCCGGCAUCGCCCGGAGCGACCACGACGGUCUCUACCGCGCCGUCGACACCUACCUCAAGGAACACCCGGACCUGAGCAAGGCGGACAGGAAGCGGCUGUGCCGGUUGAUCGACUGCCGGAAGCUAUCGCCGGACGUGCGGGCUCAGGCGGUAUCCAAUGAUCGGAUGCCGUUGCGGACCAUCGUGCAGCUUCUAUUCGUUGAGCAGGAGAGAACAAUCGGCGCGGGCGGCAGCCAUAGCGUCGCGCCACCGGACCGGGCCUCAGUCGAUGCCGUCUCCAGGCUCACGGCAACAGGCAGAGAGGACGAAGCGGCGGCCAUGGACCACAGGUCGGAUGUGCACCGGCCACGGCGGGCAGGCCAUGAAGAGCGCGCCCAGGGCGACGCGGCUGCAAUGACGAGGUCGCUAUCGGCGUCGACGAAGACGGCGGCGAGGAAGGACAGGGCGGUGGAAGAGAGGGGGAGCAGGCUGAGGAACAAGUGA